rnacentral:rRNA from 1 species
CCAGCAGCCGCGGUAAUUCCAGCUCCAAUAGCGUAUAUUAAAGUUGUUGCAGUUAAAAAGCUCGUAGUUGAAUUUCUGGUGGGAGCGAUCGGUCCAUCAUUCAUUUGUUGGAACCUGAUUGUCUCCUGCCAUCCAUGGAGAGAACUUAUCUGGCAUUAAGUUGUCGGGUUGGCAAUCUUCAUCUUUUACUGUGAAAAAAUUAGAGUGUUCAAAGCAGGCUUAUGCCGUUGAAUAUAUUAGCAUGGAAUAAUAAGAUAGGACUAUGGUACUAUUUUGUUGGUUUGUGCACCAUGGUAAUGAUUAAUAGGGACAGUUGGGGGUAUUCGUAUUCCAUUGUCAGAGGUGAAAUUCUUGGAUUUAUGGAAGACGAACUACUGCGAAAGCAUUUACCAAGGAUGUUUUCAUUAAUCAAGAACGAAAGU